AACCAUAGAAACCUGCGGAGUACCUGCGGAAGGAUCAUUAUUGAACUGUGUUUUUCAAAAACACUUACUCGAUGGGUUGUCGCUGGCUCCUCUGGAGCAUGUGCACGCCUGUCUUGACUUCAUUCAUCCACCUGUGCACCACUUGUAGUCUUUGAGGGGUCUGAGAGAGUGGCUGACUUGUCGGGAAUUCUCCCGGAUGUGAGGACUGCAGUGUGAAAGCACGGCUCUCUUCUACCUGGC
rnacentral:misc_RNA from 1 species